AUUGCCACAACUUGAUGUAGUUGGACUUGUUCUUUCGCAGCAGGUUCGCGAGCUCCUUGGGGUUGAUUUGGGGACCAGGGAGGCUAGUUUGGAAGGUACUCCAACUAAGGCGGGAGUUCGACCGACCUUUGGGUCAUCCUUGGUUGGCUUUGGGAAGCCUUUAGAGACUUAAUUGGAGCAGCAUUGGGCUUCGUUGAGCCGUUGUGGGACUUCUUGUGGAUAAUUGGAGCCUAGUACUAGGUGGGUCGGACCUAACCAGAGCAAGUGAAACUCCUCUAUGUUCUAUAUGUAUUAUAGAAAUGGUCUUAUUGUGUGCUUAUGUGAUUGAUAAGGGCUCGACGUUCGUUAUCAUAAUGUUGAACAUAUUCGAAAUGAAGUCUCUAUAAAGUAGAGAACACUUUUACAUGAAAGUAUUUAUAUUCGUAUUCAAUUCAGU